GCAAUAAGGUCUACUGAGAUAUUUGUUUUAGGAAGUGCUCCUGUGGCUCCCAGCUUUACAGAGCUGUCAUGUACACUCCUGUUAAAAUCCCAGAUAACUGUAAUUCCCUGUGAUUUGCUUUCCUGUACCCCCCAGGACUAGAGGAUGGUGUGUUUCCUAGCUCAACAUUCGUUUUUAUUUUCAUUUUAGAAACUUUUUCACCUCCCGUGCUUGCCAUCCUGCCUCCCAUCUCCACCCUAAUCCGGAGCCAGGGCUUCUCAGGAGGAUUGUCCUCUUCAUCCCUCCCUGACAAGGUGGUCCACUUGCAGGAUGUCCUGGCCCUGGAUGCUGGAGGGUGCAAGCCUAAGGUGCUGCUGCCUCCCUGGGCGUGCCAAGGGACAGAGGCGAGCAGGUUUGUCCUGGCCACCUCCAGAGUCAGAUCAAGAUCUGAGGUACCGUGAGCAGGUGUGGAGCUGAAGCUUGGAGAGAGCAGCUGCCAAAGCGGACCGUGGGGAACGUGUUGACAUCUGAGGGCAGUUCCCACCCAUCUCUGUCAUCGGCCUUUGAGUCUCGACAUCAUCGUGGAUCUUUUUGCCCGAGGAGCUCGCCUUUGGGUCUGGCACGAUCGCCACAGUCUCCAUUUUACCUACUCGCUGGCGUAGCCGCCCGCAGGCAUCUUGGCCACUUGCUGGAUGGUCAAAGAGCCUGUUGGAGUGCUGGCCUGGAUUUGGGAGGAGCCAAGUAGCCUGGAGCAGUGAGGUUUUUCCUGUCAGAAAUCCAUGCUGGGGAUGUUUUCCCUGGCUGUCCCAAGGGGAAGGAACAGCUCUGGAGUUUUUGCAGCCACAGGCUGGGGAUGCAUCCCCUGAAAACCAGUUCAGGAUCAUUCAUCUGGCUCUGUCCCUGACCUGUGGCUUCCAGGGAGCCUUCUGGUCUUCUGGAUAUUCCCAGGAGAGGAUAUUUCACCACCUGACUUUUAAGCCAGGAAUUCCAAACCCACACCGUUCCAGGGGAAAGCUGGUGAAAGGAUAAAGAUGCAGAGGAACAAGUGUUGUAAACCCCCCUGCCUCCCUGACAAAGCAAACCUUUCUGCAAUCCCAGUAAAUCUCUUGGAGAAACUGUGGGAUCAUAAGGUUUCCUAGGAAAGGAAAACUAAGGACAGAGAUGAGGAAAUAGGCUUCCAAUUAACAAUGAUUUGAUGGAGGAUGAGGAAGCCAGGCCUGCUGAGGAGGAAGAUGAGGAAGUGUGUGAGGAUGGAGACAGUGGCCACCAAAGGCUGGGGAAGGCACAGAUCCAGGUAGGAGACGUUGCCUUGCGAGGAGAGGGACUUGUCUGUCCCGUUGGAAUUUGGGGCGUGAGGCCAGUGGAACAAAGGGUUUGAUUCCAUUUUCUUGCUCGGGUUUUCACGUGCCUUAAGAGAGCUUUGCGAAAAUGUCAUUAUCCCUGAUUGAGUCUCUGAAAAACAGGGAUUGAAGCUUUCAGAAGGGGCCCAACCCUGCCUGCAUGUAUCCAAGUGCAGCCCCCCCUCCCUGUUUUUGUGUACAGCUGGGAUGAGACCUCAG